GGGGAGACGUGCACGCGCGCGCGCGUGCGUGCAAGCGUGUGUGCGCGCGUGCGCGGCGCGGGCUUGGGAGGGAGCACGUCACUUCCUGUUGCCUUAGGGGAACGUGGCUUUCCCUGCAGAGCCGGUGUCUCCGCCUGCGUCCCUGCUGCAGCAACCGGAGCUGGAGUCGGAUACCGAACGCACCCUCGCCAUGGACUCGGCCCUCAGCGAUCCGCAUAACGGCAGCGCCGAGGCAGGCGGCCCCACCAACAGCACUACGCGGCCGCCUUCCACGCCCGAGGGCAUCGCGCUGGCCUACGGCAGCCUCCUGCUCAUGGCGCUGCUGCCCAUCUUCUUCGGCGCCCUGCGCUCCGUACGCUGCGCCCGCGGCAAGAAUGCUUCAGACAUGCCUGAAACAAUCACCAGCCGGGAUGCCGCCCGCUUCCCCAUCAUCGCCAGCUGCACACUCUUGGGGCUCUACCUCUUUUUCAAAAUAUUCUCCCAGGAGUACAUCAACCUCCUGCUGUCCAUGUAUUUCUUCGUGCUGGGAAUCCUGGCCCUGUCCCACACCAUCAGCCCCUUCAUGAAUAAGUUUUUUCCAGCCAGCUUUCCAAAUCGACAGUACCAGCUGCUCUUCACACAGGGUUCUGGGGAAAACAAGGAAGAGAUCAUCAAUUACGAAUUUGACACCAAGGACCUGGUGUGCCUGGGCCUGAGCAGCAUCGUUGGCGUCUGGUACCUGCUGAGGAAGCACUGGAUUGCCAACAACCUUUUUGGCCUGGCCUUCUCCCUUAAUGGAGUAGAGCUCCUGCACCUCAACAAUGUCAGCACUGGCUGCAUCCUGCUGGGCGGACUCUUCAUCUACGAUGUCUUCUGGGUAUUUGGCACCAAUGUGAUGGUGACAGUGGCCAAGUCCUUCGAGGCACCAAUAAAAUUGGUGUUUCCCCAGGAUCUGCUGGAGAAAGGCCUCGAAGCAAACAACUUUGCCAUGCUGGGACUUGGAGAUGUCGUCAUUCCAGGGAUCUUCAUUGCCUUGCUGCUGCGCUUUGACAUCAGCUUGAAGAAGAAUACCCACACCUACUUCUACACCAGCUUUGCAGCCUACAUCUUCGGCCUGGGCCUUACCAUCUUCAUCAUGCACAUCUUCAAGCAUGCUCAGCCUGCCCUCCUAUACCUGGUCCCCGCCUGCAUCGGUUUUCCUGUCCUGGUGGCGCUGGCCAAGGGAGAAGUGACAGAGAUGUUCAGCUACGAGUCCUCAGCGGAAAUCCUGCCUCAUACCCCGAGGCUCACCCACUUCCCCACAGUCUCGGGCUCCCCAGCCAGCCUGGCCGACUCCAUGCAGCAGAAGCUAGCUGGCCCUCGCCGCCGGCGCCCGCAGAAUCCCAGCGCCAUGUAAUGCCCAGCGGGUGCCCACCUGCCCGCUUCCCCCUACUGCCCCGGGGCCCAAGUUAUGAGGAGUCAAAUCCUAAGGAUCCAGCGGCAGUGACAGAAUCCAAAGAGGGAACAGAGGCAUCAGCAUCGAAGGGGCUGGAGAAGAAAGAGAAAUGAUGCGGCUGGUGCCCGAGCCUCUCAGGGCCAGACCAGACAGAUGGGGGCUGGGCCCACACAGGCGUGCACCGGUAGAGGGCACAGGAGGCCAAGGGCAGCUCCAGGACAGGGCAGGGGGCAGCAGGAUACCUCCAGCCAGGCCUCUGUGGCUUCUGUUUCCUUCUCCCUUUCUUGGCCCUCCUCUGCUCCUCCCCACACCCUGCAGGCAAAAGAAACCCCCAGCUUCCCCCCUCCCCAGGAGCCAGGUGGGAAAAGUGGGUGUGAUUUUUAGAUUUUGUAUUGUGGACUGAUUUUGCCUCACAUUAAAAACUCAUCCCAUGGCCAGGGCGGGCCACUGU